GGGGGAAAGGUGAAAAUGGGUGAUGGUCAGGUGUACUUUUGCUUUAGAAGGGAAACCAAGCGUGCUUUUCGAUUUUGCCCUUGAAAAUAUGUUCACCUGAGAAAGGCGUACUAUUUUCAGUCAAAAAAAUAAGCAAAUACGAGUAUUAUGAUCAAAAUAGAUCAUAAUUUAUUUGUUAGGAACUAUUCAGAUUGAUUUUAAAUAUUAGAGAUUAAAAAAAAUUUGUGUAAAUAUUAGGGAUCUAUUUGGCAAAUUUCCCUUACAUGUAUCUGUCCCUUUACGUUCUCGUUUAUCAUCUUUAUUGCCUUCGUAACGUUGAAAGAACUUGCAUUUGGUACUAGCAAGUAUUAGAGCUUAUUUGGAUUCCUGUUGGUCUCGAAAAUUAUAAUUGUCGCAUUGCGAUUGCAUCCGCAAUAUCGACACAAUCUGAAUCAUGUUGGUGAAUUACAAGAUCCUUCCAACACUUAAACUUGCCAUAUUGUGUUACCAAUUUCUUCAUAUGUGCUCUUACUUUGCCUUUUUGCUACAAAAUUUUUGGCCCUGUUAUAAAACUAAUAAACUACUAUAGAAUGAAUAGAGAUAUUAGAGGAAAAGUAGAGCAAUGGAGAAUGAUAUUCUUGUAUUUCAACAAGAUACAAAAGUCAUUUCCAAAGGGUGUCAAUGUAUCUCUAUAUAUAGGUACUACAAGAUUAAAGGUUCAUUAAUCCUAUUAAACACCCACUACUACAAGAAUAUGAAGAAACCUAUGAAACGGUUCUUCCACUACAUGAAUAGAUUUAUGGAUUGUAACUUCUAUAUAUAAUGUAGCCAUAAAUCAUGAAUUAAUCCUCUUGGGAAUACAAAGGGACAUCCAUACUUUUAAUUGUUUCAUAACACUCCCCCUUGGAUGUCCAUUACACAAAGAAUAUGCCUCGUUAAAACCUUACCAGGGAAAAAUCCAUCGGGACAAAAACCCCAAUGAAGGAAAAAGAGUACACUAUUCUUGUGCAUUAAUUUCUCCCCCUGAUGCAAACAUUAUUUGAGAUAUUUUAAUCGUCGCAUUCCAAUAUUCUUCACCAAUUGCACUGAGAUAUGGUACUUCAGGACCAAGUAUCUCUUCAUCUUCCUCUUGCGAUCUAAAAUGAUCAUUUUUAUGAUCUAAUGAUCUGACGACCAUUGGAGUACUUAAUAUAUGUGUUUUAUCCAUAUAAAAUCGCUUUAAUACCUUCCGGGUAUAUGCAGUUUGGUGGACAAAAAUUCAACAUUUCAAAUGCUCAAUUUGUAAAUCAAGGCAGAAUUUUGUCUUUCCAAAAUCUUUGAUCUCAAAUUCUUUUCUCAAAUAUUCAACAUUAUUUUGAAUCUCUUCAGGAGUUCCAAUCAAAUUUAGAUUAUCAACAUAUACAACAAUUAUCACAAAAUUUGAUCCAUUUUUCUUAAUAAAAACACAUGGACAUAUUGGAUCAUUGGUAUAACCUUUGUUUGUCAGACAUUCAUUGAGACGGUUAUACCACAUACGUCCAGAUUGUUUGAGCCCAUACAGAGACCUUUGUAAUUUAAUAGAAUAAAUAUUUUUAGGUUUUGAUUUGCAUGCUUCAGGCAUGUUGAAUCGUUCGGGGAUUCUCAUAUAAAUAUUAUUUUCAAGAUUCUCAUAUAAAUAUGCAGUAACGACGUCUAUUAGACGCAUAUCUAAUUUCUCAUGUACUGCAAAAUUCACAAGAUAUCUAAAUGUAAUAGCAUCCACUACAGGUGAAUACGUUUCAUCAUAAUCAAAUCCAAACCUUUGUGAAAAUUCUUGGGCUACAAGUCUCACAAUUUCUUUUUCCUCAUUUCUCUUUAUCACAAAUACCCAUUUAUAUUCUACUGACUUUACACCUUCAAGUGUUUGGACUACAGGUCCAAAAACUUUUCUUUUAACCAAUAAAUCCAAUUCAGAUUGGAUCGUAUCUUUCCACUUUGAACAAUCAUUUCUAUACCGACAUUCAUCAACCGACCUAGAUUCAUGAUCCUCAUCAACUUCUAUAAUAUCAAGUGCUACAUUUCAUUAGGCUCCAAUUAAAUUUUCUAUGAUUUAAUUCUCUUCAGAAAUUGGCUCUUCAGGAGCGACCUCUUCAAGGGGUUAAAUUUUGUCAUGACAUUUAUUUAAUCUCUAGAGAUAUUUGAAAUCAAUUUAUACCUUAUUUAGGUAGGCCGGGCUUAAAUUUAUUUGUAGCACUUGUGCAUGUCCUUCAGGGACAUCAAUUUUAAUCAAAAUAUUUCCUGCAGGAAUAAUUGAUUUAAUGACUCUUCUGAAGUCGAUAAAUAUAAUUGAUAAUUGGUUUGCAACUUUCUGCAAAUGAAUAAUCUUUUGAACUUUCAGUUCACGUUAUUUUGUACGAGAAUCCAAGAAAUUCAAUUUUUUAAAAUGAUUUCCUUUCGGUUGAUUUCUUCCUCCCCCUAAUGUCGGGAAUCGUAACUCAUCAGAAUAAAUAAAUCAUUUAAUAGAUCACUCAUCAAAUAUUUUACGAUAUUUAAUCGUAAAAAGUGAUUCAUACCCGACAUAAAUUCUAAAUUUCUUUUGGAGCCAUAUAUAAUAUAAAGGGGAUAUGUAUAAAUAUUUGUCUGCUCUCAAAUAUUUUCACUUUCGUCAAAUCAUAUAUCCAUUGGGAUCAGUAAACUUCUGGUUUACUGCAGGUGAUAAUUAUUAAUCAAAUGAGAAUGAAGACAACUAUAUCGAUAACCAUUUCUCUCUCGAAUGGUUAUUAUGAUAUAAUUAACCUUUAUCUCAUUUGAUUUAUAAACAUGAUCUUUGUCAUUGUCUCAUUUAGUGUCUCAAUUUGAAUAUUCAAAUUCAAUAAAUUUUUCGAGACAUGGUAAAAAGUAGUGAUUUAUUUAUGAUAAAUUUUUCUCCUACAAGGAGAAAUAUAGUAGUGACUCUUCUGGAGUUUUCAAUCACUUGAGUACAACUAUUGAUUGUGUUUGUUUCUCUUACUGGAAUAUAGUAUAUGUAGUAGUACUUAUUAAUGAGACACAUAUCAUUGUCACCAUAAUUCUUAUGGGACAAAUAUCAUCACCAUAAUCCUUUGAUCCCAAAUAUUUAACAUCCAUCUCUUCUUCAGGAAGAAAAGUUAAUUAAAUCAAUCAUCAUACACCUUCAGGGUGUUUAAAGAAAUUGGCCAUGUGAAAAUGCUAUUAUAAUUUUGAUUCGUCAAAUGUACUUCGGGACAUUUAUCUUCAGAAUUCUUAUUUUCUUGUCCUCAUCAAUAUUAUCCCACUUUAAGUGGUAAUUUUUUCUUUUGUUAUGGUAAAAUAUAUAUUUACCAAAACCAUAGUCAUGGCAUCAACCAUAACUAAUAAAUUGAAAUUUAGUCACAUUCACUUCUGGGAAUGGACUAGAAUUAGCAUGCAAUAAGUCCAAAAUACUUCUCAAAAUUUCUCUUAAUAUUGCUACUACAGGAGCCUAUUAGAGAAAUCAAUUGUAGAGAAUAUCAUUUUCAAUAUAUCUUAUGAGUAAAAUUUUCUCGACACAAUUUCAACUGAGAAGUAAUUUUAAAAAUUGCAUAAUUAUGUUCUUGUAGCCACAGGUAAAUUUAUCAUACCAAGCUUUUGAAAUAAUGACCAUCUUCUGGUGGCCCAAUAUUUUCGUUAAAAAACGACCAUCUUCAGGUGGUCGAAUCUUUUUCUUUAAGUAUUCAAAGGACAAGUGAAUUCUCAAACAUAAUUGAUUUUCUAUAAUAGCAUCUCUAAAACUCAAUGCAUCAGAAUAUAAGUAUUUAUAAAAAAUAAUUCUAAAGAUAAAUAAGUAGAAUUAAAAGGAGAAAUAUUACCUCAAAGAUGUCAAACAGUAUAUAUUUGUGUUUAAUGAUUGCUCAGCAAUAGGCACUUGUAUUUUUUUGAUCAUUCAAAUGUUAGCCAUAAAAAAUUGAAAUAAAUUUAUGUGUCAAAAAUUUACCUCAAUAAGUAGACAAAAGUUACCGAAAAAAUACGGGCAGAAUCUCGUAUUUCACUUUUACUCAAGGUAGAGGCUCCGUUUUCAUCUUUUGCUCAAAUGUAGAGACUCGUGCUGAUAACGUGUUAUAAAACUAAUAAACUACUAUAGAAUGAAUAGAGAUAUUAGAGGAAAAGUAGAGCAAUGGAGAAUGAUAUUCUUGUAUUUCAACAAGAUACAAAAGUCAUUUCCAAAGGGUGUCAAUAUAUCUCUAUAUAUAGGUACUACAAGAUUAAAGGUUCAUUAAUCCUAUUAAACACCCACUACUACAAGAAUAUGAAGAAACCUAUGAAACGGUUCUUCCACUACAUGAAUAGAUUUAUGGAUUGUAACUUCUAUACAUAAUGUAGUCAUAAAUCAUGAAUUAAUCCUCUUGAGAAUACAAAGGGACAUCCAUACUUUUAAUUGUUUCAUAACAGGCCCUUUUUUUUCCUAAUUUUUAUGUUACUGAAGGAGCUGCAGAAGUCAUCAUUGAAGUAACGGUCUUGUGGCUGAUUUGUUAUUACUCUAUUGCACUUACGCCUCCUCAAAUACUUAAUUUAAUAUUUCAUCCUUAGCUAUCCUUUUAUUCCUGGUAUAAAAUUCAUGAAUCAGGUUACACAAGGGGGUAGAUGUCAACAGAUAAUAGACUGUUAUCUCUCCCUUUCAAUGCAUUUUUUAAUCUUUCUUUGCUCAUAAGGGCUGACAAUGUCGUGCAAUAUGUCAUUUCAGGAGACAGAGAGGUGAGUUUUCCAAAAACUUGACGGGCUCUAAGUGAUAUCGAUUCUUGAAAUUAACCCCUCACUUUUUAGAGGAAUUAAGUCAAUGAGUACAAAAAUAAAAGGGAGAAAGAGAAGAUUCUCUUAUACUUUUAAUAAGGCCUUCUAAAACAGACCAGUCUUAUUGCCUAAUUUGAAGCAGUGGACCGAAAGAUUUAUGGACCUACAUGCUUCAGAUGUUUAUGCUUUUUCAAACAAACAUUUUCCUAACUAAAGAAGAUAAGGAGCAGAGUGGAUGAAAAUGCUCUCACUGUUCUUGACAAACUACUAGUUGAGAUAUGUGCCUUUGUUCAUGCGCCAUGUAAAUUGAUCCUUAUCUUCACCAAUAGUAAGAUGUCAAAAAGCACGUGCUAGAGCUUUGCAAGAAGGUACCCUUUUUUUUUUUUCCAAAAAAUUUUUCUAAUAAAAGAAGAGUGGAAUUUGGAAAGCACAGAAGAGAUUGGAAGAUUAUAAUCCACGACCUCUAAUUUCUUUUCUAAAAGGAAAGUACCCUAGAAAUGCUAGUGAUGAUGUUAUUGUAGCUUUACUUGCUUAGAGAUAAAAAGGAUUAGUUACAUUAAUUUGCAUGAAUGAAGUAAAAAAAAACGUACACGACUUGAUGAUAAAUGACACUUAUGAUGGUGUUUUUUUGCACUAUACUUUUUGACAAAUACAAGACCUUCCUUCUCUCGUUAUCAUCAAACCCAAUCCGAUCCUCUCGGCAAAUACAAGCACUCAACCCACGAUAGAACACAUUAGCCGUGACUGUUCUAUGGUACAAAUAAUGGAUAAGAACCAAUUGCGAUGUGGAAGAAGAGUACUUCUCCACAAGUUGAUGUUAGAAAAUCAUUUUGUUUAUCGAAAACGACUCCCAAUUGUCGAACAAGAUUAACUUGAGACCACUUUGUUAACUUAACCCCGGAGAGGACACUUCACUAUUUUGGAAAAUCAAUGGCUGAGCACAAAAAAGACAAAUUCCACAAUGCAUCUAUAAAGAAAAGGAAACAGAAAUUAAUGGCCCAUGAGCUGUUACAUGAUUUACAAAUAUUACUGGCCUAGCCAACAUAUACAAGCUUACAAUAAUGCUAUUGCAUCCUAUAUUCAAGAUGUACUCUGGUGAUAAAGGAUAGGAGCUAAAAGAUAAUCAGAUUAAGGAUUUUGAGAAUUUUACAGAUAACUUGGUUUGAAAAAAGGGAAUAAAGGGAAGAAACCAAAUAAAUCAGAACCCAAAAAAAAACCCAGAUAUAACAAAUGGCCAUAUGCAGGCCAGGAAGUUUAUUAUUACUAUUAUGAUUAUUAUUAUUAUUUGAAAGCCCUGGAAAGGUUAAAAAAAAAAAGAUGAAAGGAAAGAAGAUAUUCAUAAAAAUUGGGCUACUCAUGAAGUUUGCCCAAAAAAAAAAAAAAGGCCUGCUUUUCCGAUAUCAUUUGGAGGCACCAAUUUUUCAUGUGGUUUGAGGUCUAACUUCUCAAGGCCGUGUUGCAUACCUAACGGACUUGUAUGGUUGCGCACAAGAGGACAUGAUAGCCCAUUUGUUCAAAAAAGCAAAAAAAAAUGCAGUCAUUUGGAAGACGUGUGGCUGGUCCAGUAUUCACCCAUAUCUACGGGCCUGCCAUGCUUGUACCAUCAAACUUGGGCAGUCAACUCGACCCAACUUUUCUUGAAGUGAUCCUAACAACGUAUGGGAUGCUCCAACGGCCUUAACUCAACAUAUUGAAAGUGAGGGAUUAUGAUUUUUUGAUAACUUAGUUUAAUACUUAAAAUUAAUAGAUUUAGAUCUUAAAAUAUUUAUGAGUGUUUUCUAAUAAAAAAUAAAAUAUCUUAAUUAAUUAAAUAGAUCUGAAUUAUAUAGGCAAAACUUACUUCAAAAAUAUAUAUAUCUAGUAUUUAUAAUUUAAUAAUUUAAUAGAUUCAAAUUUCAGAUUUCAAUUUUAUCAAACGCACUCUACAUUCUGUUAUUGGUUGGAUGAGUACAUUUUUUAUUCAAUACUUUUUGAUUCAAUAAAUACUAAUGUUCGCUCCUUGAUUUGACUUAAUUUGAACAAGAGAGACAAGCUGCAUAUUGACUGAAGAAAGCAGCAACACUCAAAUGCAUUGGCAAAAUUUUCCAAGUCCUAAUAACAAUUUUUACUCAUACUAUAAAUUGUUGUACAUAGAGGCAAGAGCAUCUUUGCUUAUCAGAAUGCUUCCAGUCACCAAUUAGCCGACAAAUUUUGUUAGAACAAAGAAAUGAUACAAUUUCAAUCUGCCACAAACUCCUUCAAUUUGUAGAGGGGAGAAGUAAUCAAUAAUAUUUAGCUUACCCGGACACAUAUAAACAUAUUACUAACAAUUAACAAACAUGUUUAUUGUAUAUGUGAUGCAACAUAAGCGGAUUAAGAGGCAGAGUAGGGGCAGUGUUCAUUGCCAUCCUAAAUACUAGAAAGGGCCUGACGAAUAUUCUGAACGGUAUAAGGCUCAUUUGAAAAGCUAUGAUUGAAAAAAAAAAUACUUGUAAUUUUGAGAAGAGCAAAGUAUUUCACAUAUUAUACAAACAAAUAGAUAAAUAAAGUAUAUAUAUUUAUGACACUAUUUGAUAGGUUUUAUUUUAGGAUUAAUUUUUUAUAUACUAGCACUAUAAUAAUUUUUUUUAUAUUAACAGCUGUAGAUAUAUGUCAUAUGUGCAUGAUUUUAAUUUCAAAUUUGAAUUCAUGUUACGUGAUAUGUAAUCUAAACCUGUUAGUAUAAAAGAAAAAAUUAUACACCGAUAGUAUAUAAAAAACAUACUCCUUAUUUUAUAUAUUUAGUUCUCAAAACCCAAUUUAAUCGGUAAGAAUAUUAAUCAAGUGACCAAAUCCUCGCCCUUCCCCUUUCCAUUGCACCUAAGAAAUAUGCUUACAAGCAGUAAACCCUUUCUUAAAAAAGAAUAAUAAUAAGUUUUUAGCCCAUCCCGGCAGAACUUGUAAAAUCUCCCUUCCAACGGAUGUACAAUGAGCUGAUUGUACGAUUGGUAUACCAACCUUUUAGUUGGCUGUACGUGAGCUCUUACUUUCCUCGGCUAAUUAUCUUGUUCAUUUGCCAUGCUACUUAAUUAAUCUCCACUUGACAGGACUCUUGAAAAUGGAAUCUAGCCAAUGACUAGUACUACAUGUGACAUGAUAUAUAUAUAUAUAUAUAUAUAUAUAUAUAUAUGUGUGUGUGUGUGUGUGUGUGCGUGUGUGUGUGUGUGUUAGAGUGUAGAUGUCUUAUUUUAAGGGUUAAUUACAAUUAUCUUCCUUGAGAUUUGACUAAAUCACAAAAUGAACCAUCUAAUUCGAUCAAAUUACAUUGAUGUGAAGCGUCCAACUUCAAUCUCGAAAACCCAACUGAGGAGGCCAUGAAAUGACAAAAAUGCCGGGUAUUUAACAUACAAUUAUCUCCGUUUAGGUUUAUUUGAAUUAUUGAAAGGGCUGUAUAGAUAGGACUUGGGGUAUUAUUUGGAGAAAAUUAUUUGGAACGAUACCAUAACACUUUUUUGUGAUGUAACAUAUGUGAAAUAAAAAAGUGGUUGUUUAUGAUGCAAGUUGACUAAUAUUUGGAAAUCUUUUUUGUAAAUUUUGCUAACCAAACAGACAUGUCCAUUCAAAGAAUUAAGAAAUAAAUAUAAAAAAAAUCAUGAAAUAGCUUAUUUCAACUGCUACCAUACUCUCUGGACCUAUUUUUGUUGCAUAACAAUCAUCCAUUACAUUUGAAUAUACAAUUGAGUAUGAAAUAAGAAAAAUUAGCUAUAUUAUAUGUAAUUAGUAAAAUGUGGUAUUAUGAGUCAAAAUUUUCUUUUUGCAAUAAUCUUAAGUUGAAUUCUUGUUCUUUUUUUUUUAGAAAUUUCAUUAAAAUGUUGUUGACAUUACAUCAAUUGACUAAUGUAGAAGUUGUUUUUUUUUUUAAUUGUUUGCAUACUAGACGCAUUCGACUAUAAGUUAAAACAAAUAGGAUCCAUUUUGUAAUUUGAACAAAUCGAGAAAGAAGGCAAACGCAAUUAACUCAAACUUCAAAAGGGCAAUUUGAGGCUUUCAGACCUAUUUUUCUGUUGAUGCAAGCAACAUACCUAACAGCCAUUAACAUGAAGGGGUAUUUGUUAAACGUUUAGAUAUUCAAGAGGGUCAAUUGUAAUUUGCCAAACCUUAGGGGAGAUAGAUGUAACUAACCCUAUAUUAAUGAGUAAGUGGCAACUCACUUGCAAAAAACAAGAUCGAUUUGCAUCAGUCAACGGCAAAUAAAUUAGUGUACCAUGUAGAUUUACAGAAGGUUCCCUAUGUUGUCAUUGAGUAUUGAUUAAUCAUAAUCCAUUGGUAAUUAUUGUUGAUCCUGAACUAAAACAUAGUAUAAGUAGUAGUAGACAACACUAAUUGGACCAUCCCCAAACUUCUAUAAUCCCAAAAUGCAAAUCUUCUUCAGCUCAUCAAUCUCCAGAGACUAAAUUAUAUAACAUCUAGCAGUACUUCUUCUUGUGGCCUCAUCAGACACAGGCACCUGGAAACAUGGCCGCCUGUAAUCAACUUCUGGCCUCGUCUACAAGAUUUUUGCUGAAUGUCAAACCGUUUCAGCGAAGGAAAAAACUCUCUACUUUCAAUUCAAUACUACCCAAUUACACUAGGAAACCCCUGGAGUACUCCAGCAAGGCAAUCCUUGGGCAUGCAGAAACUUGCUCUGCUGAAGAAAAUUUGGCGAAAGCUGAGAAAGACGAACCAUCAAGGACGAUUAGCCUGUCAGCUAUUGUGACACUGAAAUAUGCUAAUCCAACGGAUCUAAAGGACGUGAUUUUCCAAUUGAUGAAUGCUUCCUCCACGACUAAUGGCCGCGGUGUCGUGCUUCAGCUUGUUAGCUCUGAGCUCGAUCCUCGUAAGCCCCGGAUCAUCAUGAACUUUGUCCUCCUUUCUUAAUCACUUGUUGAUCCUUAAAUAUUGAAUUUUUUCGAUCAGAAUUGCAAUUGUAUCAAAUCAAAAAAUUAAGCUACAUGGAACUUCUAUUGCACGAUUUUCCAGUUCAGAUUCAAGUAUUCUAGUUUUGAUAGUUAAAAGACCAAAUAAACUCUCAAUCUUUUUCGCAUUUGGACCAAUGUCACAGUACAUUUUAUAGUAAUACUAAUUCUUAUAGUAGUAUAUAUAUAUUUUUUUGCCCAAUUAUCUUGGAUCUGAAAAAAUUUUGAACUGUUCUACGGAAGAUACAAGAGAGCCAAAGCUCAGCAGAGAAGCUGUAUUAAACAUGUCAAACUCAAAUGGCCCAAGCAGUGGUUCUUCCCACCAUCAAACUUUCAGAAUUCAAUUUACAGUUGACCACAACUUCGGCGUGCCGGGGGCCAUUAUGGUUUACAACAAGUACGAGAAAGAAUUCUUCUUGAUGAGCAUCUCCGUUGAAGGGUUUGUCAAUUUCGACUGCAAGUCUUGGAUUCAACCAGAAAAGGUGAAUUCCAGGCCCAGGGUGUUCUUCUCUAACAAGGUGAAUGCUUAAGCUUAACUCCCAUCAGUAGUACUAUUCCAAGGCUCUGAAAAUCAGAUUCUUUGCCUAGGAUGAACCUGGUGGGUUGGGAUGGGUUACCAGAGAUAUAUAUCUAAUUGAACAUCAGUUUUGAAUUUUGACUUGAGGGUGAUAAUAUAUGAUAUCUGGUUGAAACAGGCGUAUCUGCCGUUCCAGACGCCGGCGGGGUUGAAGAAACUACGGGAGAGGGAACUUCAGGAACUGAGAGGUGAUGGGACGGGGACUAGAUUGGCGUCUGAUAGGAUAUACGACUACGAUGUGUAUAAUGAUCUUGGAGAUCCAGAUAAAGGGAUCGAACGUGUAAGACCUACCCUAGGAGGCCAACAAAAUCCUCAUCCUAGACGCUGCCGGACUGGCCGUCCUCCGACCAUUGUUGGUGAGCCAAACAUAAUAACAAUAGAUUAUUUGAAAAUAUUGGUUUGUUUGGAUAGUGUAUUAUUUGAAAUAUUAUUUGGAAUAAUUACUGUAGCACUUUUUGUGAUGUGAUGUAUGUGAGAUAAAAAGGUGAUUGGGAAUAUAAAAAGGUAGGUUGGGAAAUGUGUUUAUGAUGCAAGCGAAAUAUUAUUUGGGAUAAUUGGGGUAUCCAAAUACUCUCAUUAUUUGGAGAGCUUUUUUGGUGAUAUAAUGUAUGUGAAAUAAAAGGUUGUUAAUGAAAAAGUGAUUGAAUAAUGUGUUUAUAAUGCAAGUAAAAUGAUAAUUUAAAAAAAUUAGGAACAUUGAUGAUACUAAUAACAAUAUUAGAGGUUUAGGUUGAUCAAUUGCUUGUUCUUAGUACAACUGUUUAAAACAAAAAUUUUUAUCCUAGCAUGUGUUAUUAGUUUCAAGGGAUAAUUUCACAAACAUCCCCUGUGGUUUUUGCCAAUUUCACUCGGCUCCGUUCAAGUUCAAGAAAUUAUACUAACCUCUCUUGGUGUGAUAAUAUGACUAUAAUAUCCUUCAUUUAAUAGAUAAUUCACAAUAUGAUGCAAGAGAUAUAUAAAACCAGGAAACCUUACCUCUUUUAUUCUCCACCAAUAGCUAUUCCUUCUUUCUCCAUUUCUCUCAGUUUGUAAGCAACGAUUCUUUCUUUUUUCCCUCUUAUUGUCUCUUUGACUUUCCUUUCCUCUUACUUUUUUACUAUAUUCACAUCUCUGUUUAUUUUAAUGAUGACCUAUGAUACCAUAACCAUUUCUAUUUACAUGAUGAAUAUGGCACUAUUUUACUUGCAAGAGCAUAUUUCAUUAUCAACUAAAGAAAAAUGAAUAUGCUUGUAGUGAUAAUAAAGAAAUAAAUAAUGCAAUUGAUAACUACGAAGCAUAGAAGAAGAGGGAUUAGUGGGAAAAUUGUUGGGUUGGUUAUUAUCCUAAAAACUUGUGUAGGAUAUUAACAAAUGCAUUUGAUUUUCUUUACGAUUUAAUAUAUAUUUUUGUGGAGGUUGGAGAAUUGUUCUAUUGGUGGUGGUAGUUUAGAUUAUUAUUUGAUUUACGCAUGGUACUAGGUAUUGAAUUGAAAUUUAGAAUGUGAGUUUGGUUGUUGGUUGUCAAGAGAGAAUUGAUUAUUCAAAAACAUUUAGGCUGGGAUGAUAUUACAAGACAGAUGUUAGAAUUCUUUAAGUUACUGAAAUUCUUGAACUGUUCAAACUAUUUGCUUAGUAGGUUUGUCUCAUGUUUAGAAAUAAUUAGAUUUAGCGUUGGAGUUUGAAGUGUUUGCUUGGUGGUAGUGCUGUUGCAAAUUUGGAAGAAAGUGUUGAGGAAAAUAGUUUUAUUUUGUUUUUUAUAGAACAAGGGUAAUUUAGGGUAUUUGAGGAAAAUCCAACCUGAUGAGUCUAUCUUGUUACCUAAAUAGUAAAAACAAGGGAACUAAAUGUAAUUUCUAAAACUUGAGAGGAGAUCUUUGCAACUGUCAGAUACUUCAAGAGAGGUUUGUGAAAUUAUCCCUUGUUUAAAUUUUUUUCACAAUUCAUAUAUUUAAUAAUUAUAAUAUGUUUAUAAUGUCACAUGUAAUUUUUUUUCCUACCUUCCGUCCCUCUCACACCCUUCUUAUCUCCAACUAAAUGAGUUAGAUGUAAUAUGUUACAUGUGAAUUACGAUUGACCUAACGAUUGAAUCAAUGACUCUUGACUCAAUAAAUUUUCCGAGUCAAUGCAUAGGUUGGGUUUCAAAACCAUGGCCCUAAGUGAAAGCCAUGGAAGACUCGUUAUAAAUGACUAUUGAUUUUAAGAGUUAAGAAGAAAGAAAGUGACAAGAGUAUGGGGACCUAAUUUUUCUUUAAGCAAACCAAAACUUUGUAUUAAAAUUGGAAGUAAGUGAUAACAAAGAGAGUAUAGCAGCCAGGUAAGACUAUGUACAAGCUACAAAUGAAUAUCCUACAGUAAAUUAUGCCAACCGUACACAAUUAGACGAAAAUCAACUGGGAAGUCCCCAUCGAAGAGCAAUGAUCAAUUUUCUUUGUUCCUAGAACCUAAUUGUUAAUGUGUAUAUUUACGAUCUUCCAGUUAGAGUACUUUUGUCCACAAAAGCUAGUAUUAGACAAUGGAGCCAAAAGGAGACGAGCGACAUUUAAAUUUAUUAAACAAAUUAAAAAAAUGUAGUUGAUCAAUCCAAGCUUGUUAAAAUUAUGGAUCUUAUUCUAAAACCUUUCAAUAAAAAAAGAAAAAGAAUCGAAACUUAUAAAUACUCCAUCUUUCAUUUAUGACAAAUGAACCAUGUUUGAUAGGUAGACAACUGGAAAUUCUAAUGUAAGACGCAGAAAUUUAAGAAAGUAAUUAAUGGUAUCAAUCAACAAUUAUAAAACUAUAUCAUUUUGACGAAGAAUAAGAUUGGUAAGCUCAUUGUUAGCAUGGGGUUAAAGUAAUUGAUGCUGAGUAUAUGUCAUCUAAUAACUAUAGCUGCUGACUGCAGACGCCAAUGCGGAAAUCCCAGCAAGUUGUUCGAAACCUGUAUAUGUGCCCAGAGAUGAAGAAUUUGAGGAAUCAAAGAACAGAUAUGUAUCUACAGGAAAGCUUAAGGCAGUAUUUGGUUACCUGAUGUUUUCUUUAGUUCCCAACCUCUACUCCGACGUUACCAAUCUCAAAAUCAAAUUACCCCAUUACCAAAACAAUUCUCCACCUGGUAAGUGAUGUUUAAUUUUGCUCAUUCACUUGCCUUUGUUUUUUUUUUUUUUUUAUCAUGAAAUCACGUUAUAAUAAACCACGCUUUAAUUAGAAAUUUCAUUUUCUUACGUCUUCAACCACACUACGCAAGUAGUGCAAAAUUUUACUUGUUUGAUCGUUUACCUUUUCAUAUCAAUCUUCCUUUAAAUGUUUUUUUUCUUCAUCCUAGUGUACUUUUUAUGCAUCAGCUUAAAAAUCCAAAACAUAUUAUCUGAACUCAAAUUCUGCCAACCAUUUAGUCCCUUUCGAGAUGAAUAACCACGUAUAUAUGUGCAACAUUCCUGAAGGGGCAAAGGGAUUCUCGGAUCUGGGGGACGACGAAUUUGCUCUACGAGUUCUUGCAGGAAUAAAUCCCUUAAACAUAGAAAGGUUGACGGUGAGUCUUUGUAAACAUGGGUUUUUAAGUCCAGAAGUAGUCUUUAUUUACAAGUUACUCGUUAAGUUCUGUUAAUGCAAUCCGAUAUAUAUGGUGUCUGGAAAAACAAAAAUUUGCUGAUCAGACAGGAUUGUUUUUCUUGUUCAGAACUUCCCACCAAGGAGCAAACUCGAUCCGUCUAUCUACGGCCCCCUGGAAUCAGCUCUCAAAGAAGAACACAUCAUCAGCCAUCUAGAUGGAAUGUCAGUGCAACAGGUACGACUAUCUGGGUGUUGGAUCUUGUUUCCCAACCCUAGGUUCUACUGGGAAUUCCUAAGGUGCUAUUUGUACAGGAAAUAAAUUUUUCGAGGGCCAAAUGAAUUAUCAAUACUCAAGAAUAGUCUUUCGUUUUUACUGUUGUUAUGUGUACUUGGAAAAAUACUGCGCUUCUUGGUGUCUGCAAAAUUUUUUUUUUUUAUCGACUAACUUUGACUAGUACUUUCAGGCAAUGGACAAAAAGAAGCUAUUCCUAUUGGAUUACCAUGAUCUCUAUCUUCCCUUUCUCAAUCAGAUAAAUGCUCUUGAUGAUCGCAAAUCCUAUGCGACACGGACAUUGUUCUUCUUAACAAGCGCAGGUACUCUGAAACCCGUUGCGAUCGAGCUGAGCCUUCCAAAAGGGGAGCUAACAGUUUCAUCUAAGCAAGUUCUUACCCCUCCUAUUGAUGACACAAGUAACUGGCUAUGGCAACUCGCCAAGGCUCAUGUUUGCACCAAUGAUAGUGGAGUUCAUCAACUUGUAAAUCACUGGUAAACAAUACAGUCUUAGGAGCAAAAGUUUUUCAUAUUUGAUAGAUAUUAAAAAAAAGGGUGAAAAUUGACCUCAAGUAUUCCUUGCCUUGGGAAAGGGAGAAUUCGUAAAUAAAACUCAUUGCAUAAGAUUAGAUAGUCGUGCUUUACAGAUUAAUCAGCCUAUGUAAAAUUUGAGUGCAUACCUAAAACAGUUCGUUGAUGAGCAACAUUUUAAUUUAGAUAGUCAAUCUUAUACAGGUUGCGGGUGCAUGCCUGCAUGGAACCAGUCAUAAUAGCUGCUCACCGUCAGUUAAGCAUAAUGCACCCCAUAUUCAAGCUUCUCAAACCUCAUUUGCGAUAUACAUUGAGGGUCAAUACAACUGCCCGUGAAACUCUCCUCAAUGCAAAUGGUACCAUUGAAUCCUUCUAUGCGCCAGGACAAUAUUGCAUGCAGCUUGCUUGUUCUGCCUACAGAGAUUUCUGGCGUUUCGAUCAGGAAGGCCUUCCAGCCGAUCUCAUAAGGAGGUUAGCUAGUUUUGGGUUUGAUUUUCUAAAUGUUAACUAACUCCAUGUAAGUGAAACUUCAUACAUCACUAAUUGUCGAUUGUUGUUCUUAUAGAGGAAUAGCGGUACCUGACCCUAAGCACGAACACGGGUUGAGACUUCUUAUCGAGGACUACCCAUAUGCAAAUGAUGGCCUCCUCUACUGGUCAGCAAUUGACAAAUUGGUGAAGACUUAUGUGGAUCAUUACUAUCCAAAUGCAGUUCUGAUACAAGAUGACAAGGAGCUGCAAGCUUGGUACAGGGAGGUAAUUAAUGUAGGCCAUGCAGAUCAUCGCUUUGCUACUUGGUGGCCUAAUCUUGAAACUCCUGAUGAUCUCAUUAAAAUUCUUACGACUUUAAUAUGGGUUGCAUCUGGAGAACAUGCUGCAUUAAAUUUUGGACAAUAUGGUAGAUUUGACCCGAGCCAUCCCAAUUUGAUGCGAAAGCUGUUGCCACAAGAGAAUGAUCCCGAGUAUGCAAGUUUUCUUGAAAAUCCAAAAGAGUAUUUCCUAUCAUCUUUGCCCAGUUUGGACAACAGUGCUAAAUUUGCAUCUGUGCUAAGUGUGAUCUCUGCCCAUUCGAGUGAUGAAGAAUAUAUUGGGCAGAGGGAUGACUUAUUGAGCUGGUCAGGAGAACCAGAAAUCUUGGAGGCGUUUUACAGAUUCUUUGUGGACAUCAAAAUGCUAGAACGAGAGAUUGAGGAAAGAAAUUCCGAUUCCAAUUUGAGAAAUAGAUGUGCUGUUGGAAUACCCCCAUAUGAACUGCUGAUUCCUAGUUCAGGAAAUGGUGCUACUUCUAGAGGAGUGCCAAAUAGCAUAACAGUGUGAAUUUGGUUUAAAAACUUGUGGAUUUUCUCAUUUCAAAAUAUUGCUGUUUUCCCAAGUUCAAUGUAUUGGAAGAGAGUCAGAGACGGAGAUUGUAAUCAAAUCAAACUCUGUUUAGUCAGUCAAUUAAGCUGAAACCACUAUCUGGUUUCAUUGGGUGUAACAAUUUGAAGAGCCAUUGUUGGUUGCUACCACUUUAUGAUCUACAGCCUCAAACAUAUUGGUUGCUAAACCAAUUGUGACGCUACAUGUGAAUUUGAGAUCAGGAUUAAAUUGCGACUUUCCUAUUGUGCCAGCGUUAAUGAAAACAAGGCCAGAUACAAAGCCAAAUGUUUCUUUCCAUUUUCGCCACCGAUCCACUAGAGUUCUACUCGAAAAAAUAGUGAGACAUGCAUUAGCACUGCACUUGGUAUGAGGAUUGGUGAUCAAGAUCAAAGAUUUUUCUUUUUUCUAGCUUAAUAUAUCACACUCAAAAGUUGUCUCUUAUAAAAUACUACUAUAUCUUUUCCAGCAAUCGGACUAUCAUAUGCCAAAACAACAUAAAUACGAUCAUGAUCUUUACUUCACAUAUUUGAUUAAAUAAAUGUAUGAACUUGAAAUUACCCUCUGCUAAAGAAGGAUCCUACUGAUCUUGUUCUAUCUCUGGAAUUAGGUAGGAUCCGAUGUAACCGAUAACUGCAAUUUCGUAAUGAAUUCUAAGUACUUCAUAAUAGGAAAAGAUUGAUUGUCACUUGGUCAAGAGGCGGGGUGACCGCAAUGAAGGAGUUCAUGUACCUCAGCUCGAAUGUCAACUUGAUAGGUUAUCUUUGAAUUGUACAAGUGUAGCUCCUCCAUGCAGCAGAAUAUGAGCAUGUUAAUUGUUACCAAAAAUAAAAAUAAUGUACUGGGAGGGAAACACAACAAAAAAAAGGACCGCGGGGGGGGGGGGGGGGGAACGUUGAAGGAAAAACCUGAUCAAAUUAAAGGUCUGCGACAAUGUUGGUGGUCUUCUUGCUUGGUUUCUUGUAGGUAAAGAUAAUUGAGAAGAUAAAAAGGUGUAUUGAAAAUUGUAAUAAUGAUGUAAGCAAAUAUAUUUGGAGAAAUAACUUACCAUCCAAACAAAUAUUCCCCUAAAUAAGAUGACCAGAAAAGAUAAACCAUGUCUCACCAGAGUUUGUCAGUUUUGCUGCAGGAAAAAAGGUUUCCUGGCCAUGACAAGCAACCGAUUAAAAUUUAUGUGGUACACCUAGCCCAAGACUCAACAGGGAUGCGGGAUCAAGUCUUUGAUUGCACGAUUUUUCAUCAGUUUAAAACAUUAACCAUUCUCUGAAGGCACCAUUAGUUGCUAUGUGAAGAAUCUUCUGAUCAAAAAUGGCAAUGGUAUGAGAAAGAUUCAUUUCCAGCGCAUAAUCCUUGGCAACGUAAAAUAUAUACAAUAAAAUAAUGGAAAUGUUUGACAUCUCAAAACCAAAACUUGUGAGGAAAGGGAGAUUGCUGUGUAGAAACACUACCAUGACACUCAUCUUACAGUUCCCAGCCCCGCAACCGUGAUUGAGGAAAUGGGGAUGGAAAGAAUGAAUUUUGCCUAACCAAAAAUUUAAGUAGAGGCGAUAUCCUUGCUGCCAACAGCUACUUUCCUGUGACGCUUGGAUUUUCUGUCCCUCCCUCGCUUCGCGGUGAUCUUCUUUAGAGAAGAGUUAAUAUUUUCUGCCAAAAACUCAGGUACUGUUUUCUUAGGUUCUUCGUCAAUCAUAGGUGGUGGAGGAUGCACAACCGCAAUAGGGGGGUGGAUGCCCCGGCUCUCAAGCGCAUCUCUGUGGUAACCCUGCAUGUUAUAAUAAAUUGCAAAGUAUUUAAAUGGGCUGCCGGGGGAAAAAAAAAAGGCAAUGCUAUCUGUAGAGCAAGAGGGAUAGUCACAUCAAAGUUAGUAGAUUGAAGGAUAAAUUACAUAAAGAUAUUGUUCGUAUGGCAGAUGAUGAAGUGAAUCAGGGGCAGCGAUAGAUAAGGCUAGUGGAGAGAGAAUAACAAAAGAAACAAUGGUGGAAAGAAUUGCCAUUCAAACAUUAAGAGAGAGAGACAGAGAAGAAUCAUCAAAAACAAUUUAGUACUUGAAGCAUUGGUUAAAAGAAAAAUCGUUCCAUUCGCUAAAAAUGAGAAUGAGAAUUGCUAUUGAAACAUUACCAGACAUUUUUUCACAAAACAGUAGUUUAAUAGCUGAUUAUUGCCAGUACUAACUAGCACUGUGCACCAUAAAAAAAUUUCAAGAAUUAUCUCUAAUAACACUGUCUCAUUAUUCUAUCAGAAAACAGGAUGUGAAAUUUUGGGUGUUCUAUGCAGGUUAUAUCAGGGAGUAAAAGAUUGAAACUACGAGCAACAAGCAGCACAGGAAGGAAAAUGCAGACAGUUCUAAAAGUAAUUUUGGGAGAAAUAUUUGUAAGCUGAAAUUAACAAAUUAUCUAUAAGAAAAUAAUCAGAGGUCAUAUUCUUUCUUCUCUCUUUUUUUAUCCUUUUCCAUUAAUAAGAUUACCUGAACCACAUAGUUGCGCCUCUCACAAUCCAAGAACAUGUUUAUUGUCCAGUUAGUCUUUGAGUUGAUCUUGUCCCUUACAGACGAGAAGCUAAUCUGGUCUCUCGAUGUAAAACGGUCCACUUCAUUAAACCAAAGACAAGUAAAGAGGUUGGAGAUUGGAAUGUGCUCCCUUAUGAUAACGCAUCCUUCAGGAACAUCUGCAAUCAGUGAUAGUCAGAUUGCACUAAGAUAGACAAAAGUAAAAAUGACCACCAACUUAAGCAAGAAAACACCCUAAAAGAAAAUUUGACCAACGGAUGUUGAAAGUGGAAUGGAACAGACAAGAAGAUUGGGUCAUAGUCCUACCACUAGUGAUAGGGAGUUUAGCCGAAGAAUAUGGGGUCAAACCCUCCUUUUUAUAAAAAUCAAUCUGGAAGUCAAUGGAGGCAUUGUCAUACUUUCCAGCAGCCUUAUUAGCUUCUGCUUCCACAAACACAUCAAAUCGCCUGUAAUGCCUUGAUAUUGCAAAAGUAGCAUUUUUCCUCCACAAAAACCUGAAAUGAAACAGAGGGUUGUCAUGACUUUGUGUAAGCAGCUGGCAAUUAGAUAGACAGGGUACACAUGAAAAAAAAAAUUCUUUAUCGUUCAUCUCUUUUUUGUCUGGAGCAUGACUCUGGUAAGAGAGUAUUUCUGUUCACCAAGAGAAUGCGAAAAUAUUCGAAAAAAUAUACUAAUACUAUGCAAAACAUUCAGCAGAACAAGUUUCAGGGCAAAAUAAUGGUGAUGCAAAAUAUCCAGCAGCAAGGUUUAGAAAGUCACGCAGUUGAAGUAUGCAGACGAGAUGACCCAAAAAACAUGUCAGAAACAUCAAGCAAAAAGGAGACAAUUUGAAGAAUGUUGGGCAAGAGGGAAAAAGUCUAGAUUGAUCAGCCAGAUGUUGAAUAAGAAAAUUAUAAGAAUUGUUCGAAUUCUAAGACUGAAUUCAUAUAUGAUUAGCUCCAUCCACAAUAUUUGUGCCAGAUUGAUCAUAAGGAUAUGUACCACUAACAUAUGAUUUCUUGCGACUGAUCAAAUAAAAAGAUUCCAACUAAACAGGAUAGAUAUGUUGUCCCUUAGAACAACCAGAAUUGCUCAUAAAUGAAACUGGAACUAGAAGAUUCUGUUCCAUGACUGCUUUGGACCACUUAUGCAAUAACAUCUCCAUGUCUUGAUAAUGCGUAACCAACAUUUUUUGUUAAUUUAUCAUGAUAAAGAGUUUCAAAUCAUGAAAUAGAUAAUUUUUCAUACAACAACAACCCUUAUCAACAAAAUCGUUUUUGUUACUAUCAUUACCACCUAUCCAGUUUAAUAUGGAGCCUCCAUUCAUGACACUAGACUCGUGUAUUCAUUGUUUUCUUUUGGCAGGUUUUUGACAAUUGUUGUGUGCCAAGUAUAAUGUAUCCAGCUACCAUGCCUGCAUAACCAUUCCCAUUCAAUAGUGACUCAGAUAUUUGAAUUUCAUUAUCAUUUUCCAUCGGAAGGCAUCCCAUUUAGUACUGCAGGAUCAAAGUAAAUUUUGCUAUCUCCAGCUUUCAGAAGAGUGUGUAAAAUCUAUUAAAGAUUUAAAAAUGUCGACAUGUUGCAGUGUCCUAAUACUCAACGUGAUUUCUUUUCAAGACAAGCCUAUUGGAUAAAUUUGGAAAUGUUUCCUGAGACAUGAUCAACCAAAAACUUGCAAUGAGUGGCAAUGGCAUAAUUUUAGUUCCCAUCCACCCCCAUCCCCUUCCCAAAAGGAGAAGAAGCGAAUAAAACCUAAGAUUUGGACUAAAGGCAGGGGGAGAAAACAAACAAAAUACCAAAACCACGCCUGUCCCAACCACAAUAUAACAAAUAAAUCAUGUCCAAAGGACUUAAUUUGCAGUUGGUAGCCAUGAAUCUAGAAAAAAAAAAAAGGCUGGUUAUCCAUUUGGCCACAAGAAUAAGUGCCAGAUAUUUUUAAAUCAUUCGGAGUUGUAGCUUCUGUAGGCGUAGCUAACUAUGACUUGGUAUCAAACUGAUGGUGCUUUGGAAUUUUGGAUAGCAUGGGUGACAAAGGAAGGUUGUGAGGUAAGGAAUUGGUGGACCCAGAGGAAGCAAGGACAGAAGAAAGGGCAGGCAACUGCACAAGUUUCAUAAAACUUAAAAUGGUGGAUAUCUCAUGAAACAAAGGUCUGGUACAUAGUUAUCUAUUUAAAGGGUCAAAAUAUAAGACGGAGAAACAUCAAUUUUUUCAUAAUAAGUACCAAUAUCACCUUCCAAUGAAAGUUUAGAACUGACAUUGGAAAAUAGUUCAAGUACAGGAGGUAAUGCCUCAGAAGUACCUCUCAAGUACUUGAUAUGGAUCUACCACCAGCUCAAGCUUUCCAUCAAUCCAUAAGGAAUAGCGGGCACUUGGGAAAAGCCUAUGAAGUAGAAGUUUUGGAACCUGCCAAAAUCCCACUUAAGAAUUACAUCUUGCCUUUUUUGAUGAAACGGCGAAAUAGAAUUACAUCUUGCCUGCUUAUAUAGAUUCAGCACUCUUCAAACCAGAAGUAAUGGAAUGAUUUUCAAACAAUAAAGCAAUACCAAAAUAGGAUCUCUGUGAAAUUGUCUAUGAGAUACAAGACAGCGAUAUGACCACAACUAAUAUUUGUCAGUCAUUUUCUGGUUCUGAGAAGGAAGAAGUGCCACAGAUACAGCAAAUUAAAGAACUGCAAACAAAGAAAAGAUUGGGAAACGUCCAAAGUUCAACCCAAUCAACUAGGCUCUUGACAUUUUAAAGAUUUAGGAAAUAUACAAGCUUCAUUCAAAAUCCCCUGUCAAUAAUCUGAAAAGUAUGAGAUUUUCGGAGUUCAAUUGCAGAAGCUUGGACAAGUUUAAAAGAUACCUACUUAAGCAAACAAUAAAUAACUGACAUAAUAGAUGAAAUGAAAUGUGGAUAACAACAGUGGGAAAGCUAUCUAGUAAACCUCGAUUGGAGAAAGCCAGUAUAGAAGAAACUAAUAAAUAGCUAAGAUAGAUAAAUGAAAACUGGGUGUUGCAGCAUGAAAUUCUAGAAUAUGUAAAGAAAGACAGCUCAUGGACCUACAAAUGAAGCAAACAGUUCAAAAAUUAUAUCAGGCUUAUGUGGAGGGUAUUUAACCAUCAACUUUUCAUUUUUUAACCAGAGUAAAAUUCUUCUUUAAACUUCAUGCAACUUUGGUGAGUGUUUGUUUGAGUUUACAUCUAGAGGGGGUUUAGAACACACAAAAUAGACACAUUUAGAGAAUUAAAUCAGAAGAAAAGCACCCAAGAUGCGCACAUUAACCAGCAGUUGGUACUGAGACUUAAUCCCUAAGCAGCAAAUUAUGUGCUACAAGUUUGGGAAGAAGUAGAACUUCCACAAGAAUCAUCUAUUGGUACCAGCAAUUUCUGUAAAUUCUUUAUACCAGGCCACAAUAAAAAGCAAACAAGGACACACUUUUCACAUGUUUUUGGAAAAAAUAUUCAUAAAACACAAGAAUUAUACAUGCAUAUAGAUUUAAAGACAGGUAUGACAGUCUAAAAGAAAAGUUCCACUGCAGAACUUCAUAGAUAAGAGACACGCUCCACAGAGGCUAGACUUAAUAAAAUUGUAUAUACUUCACUUAGAUAUUACAUAUCCUUAGAUUAGGUAAAAUUAUUUACUUUGUCUUUCAAGAAGCGUGACUAUUGAUAUCUUAAAAACCAGGGGUUUCAAAUCUCAAAACAAAUGAAUCGAGGCUAAGUUUUUACUUUCCAAUAUGUCAAAGUAAAAUUUCAUUUUGGUCAUUACAAGUGUACGUCAGACAUAUAUUUAUGUGUCCAUAAGAAGUCAUUACUUGAUUGUAGAUAGAUGCCAUUUAUCAUGUCAAAAUUACCAUAGGAGAAGUUCCACGGUCAUGUAUAGUCAUGCAUUGCAUGUUCACAAAAGUGCCUUAUCAAUACUGGCAAAAUUAGUAAAAUAAUUUUUGACAAUUCCCCAAAAAAACUCACUGCCAUAUGUCCCAUGCAGUUUUAUCUGCUUCUCAUUUGCAAACUCUGCAGCAAAUAUGUAAAAAAUUUACAUUAAAUCUGAAACUGUCUUACCUUUCCAUUGCGUCUUGGAUCAGUGUAAGGCAAGUUGCGAACAACAACAAUUCGCCACAACCCAUUUUUCUUGUUAACAUCCACAGCACUAGAAUUUCUUAAAAAGGCUUCUGUUUCUUCAUCCACAAACAUAUAGAAGCAGACGUUUUCCUUGGAAUAGUCACUAAUGUUCUUUGGUUGACGUAUCAAAUCAAAGGCUCCUGAGUAACAAUGCAUUGUCAUGUUUAUAAACCUAAAGCUUUCAUGCUGGAAUAACAUACAAGUUGCAUGAGAAUAUCAUACCAAAUAUUGCAGAGGCAACGACCACCCCUUGACAAGUUUCCAUAUCAUGAAGGUCAGAUUCAUCGAUGUCAAAACCUGUACCCAGUCCAGGCUUGACUCCUCUUACAAACCUAUAAUGGGUAUAUUGACACGCUCUUAUUAAAAUGAAUCCAAACAUGGAUUACCAAAUUAUUUUAACCAAGAAGAGAAGAAAGACUUGUAUUAUGUUAAAAUUCACUGAACUGCAUCAGUAAAGAAAUCAUACCCGCAGUGCACGCUCAUUGACUCCCUUAUAUCAUAAGAAUCAUUUCUCUGUGCUAGUGAAGGAUACCCACCAAAUUCCGAACCUCCAAAUUCAGUUUUAGUUAGGUUUUCUUCAUGAAUGUAAGUUAAAUUCUUUAGAACAGGAGAGAAGGAUGGUGCUGUUGGUUUUAAGCUGAGAACUUGUUCCAUGGGAAGGUAGCACACUGGACAGGCUGAAAGAACAAAAUAAACAGCAUGCAGGAAAAUUAUUCCUAAAUUCAUAAAAUGACCAUGUUAAUACAGGAGGAAAGAAUAAUAAGUUUCUGAAUCUUCUUAUUAGUCACAGUUUUGAAAGCAUAUUCUCAUACAAACAAGUCGUAGAGAAAUCAAAACAGAACAGGAAGUUAGAAGGCAUACGACGCGGUCCAGUUCUUUUUGGAUCUGCUGGUGGGGGAGGCAACGUGAAACCUUCACAUGGAUUCCCAGGAGGAAGGGUAUAUCCAGUAAAAUAUACUGGAGGAGAUGGAGGAGGCGAGGGCGGUGGCGGAGAUAGCAGCUGACCUGAAGUUGCAGUUCCUUGGCCUAUGAUUGCCUUAGAAGGUAUCUUGACUUUAACUGUCUCAUUUUCCACAGAUAGUGGAGAAAAUCCACUAUAAUCUAAAGUACUGUUAA
rnacentral:lncRNA from 1 species